AUUGAACGCUGGCGGAAUGCUUUACACAUGCAAGUCGAACGGCAGCACGGGGCAACCUGGUGGCGAGUGGCGAACGGGUGAGUAAUACAUCGGAACGUGCCCAAUCGUGGGGGAUAACGUAGCGAAAGUUACGCUAAUACCGCAUACGAUCUACGGAUGAAAGCGGGGGAUCGCAAGACCUCGCGCGAAUGGAGCGGCCGAUGUCAGAUUAGGUAGUUGGUGGGGUAAAGGCCCACCAAGCCAACGAUCUGUAGCUGGUCUGAGAGGACGACCAGCCACACUGGAACUGAGACACGGUCCAGACUCCUACGGGAGGCAGCAGUGGGGAAUUUUGGACAAUGGGCGCAAGCCUGAUCCAGCAAUGCCGCGUGCAGGAUGAAGGCCUUCGGGUUGUAAACUGCUUUUGUACGGAACGAAAGGACUCUGGUUAAUACCUGGGGCUCAUGACGGUACCGUAAGAAUAAGCACCGGCUAACUACGUGCCAGCAGCCGCGGUAAGG
rnacentral:rRNA from 1 species